UUGUGACAUUUUCAGGGGGUGCGUAAUUUCCAUAUUACAAAACUUUGAUGGUACAUUGCAGCGUAAUCACGGACUUUUAGAGGACACUGCGGUAUCAGUUUUUAUCAGUUUUUGCUACUUUCUUAUUAAUACAGGAUUUCUGCCUUGAUUUAGUUGCUGUAAUAAGUUAGUUGAUUCAUUCGGUUGCAAGACAAAAUACCGCUUGUAGAGCCGCCGGCCAUGGGGCGAGCCGGUCGAAAGCGCCGGCGUCUCCAGGAGGAGGUGGCCCUGGAGCCUGGGCCGUCCGUCGCGCGGCCGUCCGUGACACUGCCGAACGGGGAGAGCAGCUCUGCGCAGGCACAGCAACCGGACAGCGCGCCUGUCAGCCAGGCCGAGCCGUUCUAUGAACCUCUGCACCUCCUGCCAGAGGACGAGGCCACGCUGGCGGCGCUGCUGCGCGAGGC